GAAACAGGACAUAGAUGAGUUGCUUGGUGGACACAUGCGCACUGCUUUGUGGGAUUUGUCUCCUGCUGGUGCUUCCAGGUGUAGAAACCGUCGGAUAACUGGGGCUUAAACUUGCAGGAUCCUGAUGCUGGGAGUGGCACAGGACGCAGUGGGAAUCCCCAGCACGCUCCAGCACAAAGCCCCCUUCACACCCCUCACAUUCAGCGAAGCCGCUGUGGCCAGAGCCCUGUGGAGAUCACCCCUGAUCAGGCCAGCUGUAGUGAUUCUCCAGCUAAAGGGCAAAGACUGUGUGACCGCUGGAUGUCAGUGGGCUUUAAAAGAUGCUGACAUGAAAACGUGCAAACGCUGAUCAAAUAGAAAUGAAUGUAAAGCAUGUCGCCCACGGCCUGAGCAU